CGCAUUAAUCUAGCACAGUGUUCAAGCUGAAAUAAUGAAGCUCUUCGUGGUACUCUUCUCAGCGGUUGCUGUCCUUGGUAUUGCAGCUGGCCAAAAUGAGGGUGAAUUUGUGUGCCAAGAUGGGGUUCCAUACAUAGAAGGUUUUUGCAAUGAAUGUUUUUGUAGUGGCGGUGACUGGCAUGCACCGAAAAAUGGUGUCCAUGGUCUGCUGGUUCCAAAAACUGUACGGUUGGAAGGGAAAUGCCGUUUAAAUGCAAUUACUGCCAUUGCGUUAAGGGCUACGGUUUAAUUUGUACAAACUACGAAUGCACUGCGACAACUCGAAUCCACUAUGGUACGCGACCAUAAGGUUGUUGGUCAACAUUCACAGCAUAGUGAUUUAGUUUAGUACGAUUAGGAUUUAUGUAAUAAAUGGUGGCGGCUUUGGGGUAAAUUGAUUCUGGAUUUA